AUGUUGAAGCUUCUUGCAGACUUCUGCCCUGAUGUUCAAGCUGUAGCUCUUGGGAAUGCUCCACAAGUUUGCAAAUACACAUCACACGAAAUUCAAAAUGAGAUCUUGAGCAUUUAUGCUAUGAAAGUCAGGGAGCAUAUUCGAGCAGAAAUUGGGGACUCAAAGUACUCUAUUCUUGUGGAUGAGACAUGUGAUGUGUCCAAAAGAGAGCAAAUGGCACUAGUUUUCAGAUUUGUUGAUAAAGAUGGUUAUUCACAAGAAAGAUUCUUUCAUCUCAUACAUGUAGCCAACACAAAAGCACUGACACUAAAGAUGGAGUUGUGUAAAGUAUUAUCCAAGCAUGGAUUUGAUGUACAAAAUCUUCGAGGCCAGGGAUAUGAUGGGGCAAGCAACAUGAGGGGAGAGUUGAAUGGAUUGCAAGCUCUAUUCAUUAAAGAUUGCCCCUAUGCAUAUUAUGUUCAUUGCUAUGCUCAUCGGUUGCAACUCUCCCUUGUUGGUGCAGCAAGAGAUGUCGUUCCAGUCACCCAAUUUUUUCAGAAACUUCACUUUGUUAUAAACACAGUUGACUCCUCUUCAAAGCGACAUGAUGAGUUGCAUGACGCCCAGGUGGUUGAGAUUGCACGCUUGCUUGCUAUCGAUCAGAUUGAAACAGGCAAAGGAGCCAAUCAAAUACGCUCAUUGAAGCGACCUGGAGAGACUAGAUGGGGUUCCCACUUAGGUUCGAUUUCUAGUCUUAUGCAUAUGUUCAAUCCAGUGAGAGUUGUUCUAGAAAAUCUAGCCGCAGAUUCAUCAGCUGGAGCAAACCGGGCUGAUGGUGAUACUUCUUUCACUUACCUGACCUCUUUUGAGUUCGUAUUUAUCCUAUGCAUGAUGAAAGAAAUAUUGGAAACUAGCNNNNAUCUUGGGAAGGCUUUACAGAAGAAAGCACAAGACAUAGUAAAUGCAGUUCGUCUAGUGCAUUCCACAAAAGUACUUCUGGAAGAGAUGAGAUCAGAUGAAGGAUGGGAGUUGUUCAUUGGAAAUGUUGUUGAGUUCUGUGUGGAGCAUGAUAUAGAUAUUCCAGACAUGGAAGAACUAUACAUUCUGCGUGAUGGGCGUGCUCGUCGUCAACCUGAUCACUUUACUAGAGAAAGGUAUCUACGAGUGGAGAUAUUUCGAGCAACAAUUGACAACCAACUAAAUGAAUUGAAUCUUAGGUUCAAUGAGAAAGUGAUGGAUCUCUUAUCCAUUAGUGUUACAUUGAUACCAAGAAAUGGAUUUACAUCAUUCAAUGCUAAGGAAAUAUGUUCAAUGGUGGAGAAAUAUUAUCCUGCUGAUUUUACACAACAAGAGAGAUAUGGGUUGGAGAUUCAGCUCAACCAUUUUGCUGCGGAUGCUAAAAACAGUGGAGACUUGAAGAAGCCCAUCACCAUAACUUCUUUGUGUCGAUGCCUUGUUGAGACAGGACGAGAUAGAAUUUACAAUUUGCUUGAUAGGUUGCUUCGAUUGCUUGUUACUCUCCCAGUUUCCACUGCCAGUGUUGAGCGUGCUUUCUCGAGCUUGAAGAUUAUCAAGUCAAGGCUACGUAAUACAAUGGAAGAUGAUUUUCUUGCAGACAAUCCGUUGCUACAAAUUGAACGAGAAAUUGCAUCAAAAAUUCCUUGUGAAGCUAUAAUUGCUGAUUUCAAAAGUAGGAAGAAUAGAAGAUCGUAUCUUUAG
rnacentral:rRNA from 1 species